rnacentral:rRNA from 1 species
AGGGGGCAAGCGUUGUCCGGAUUUAUUGGGCGUAAAGAGCGUGUAGGCGGCCUGGUAGGUCAGCUGUGAAAACUCGAGGCUCAACCUCGAGACGCCGGUUGAAACCAUCAGGCUAGAGUCCGGAAGAGGAGAGUGGAAUUCCCGGUGUAGCGGUGAAAUGCGCAGAUAUCGGGAAGAACCCCCGUGGCUAAGGCGGCUCUCUAGUACGGUACUGACGCUGAGACGCGAAAGCGUGGGGAGCGAACAGG